GGUCACGGCUCACCUGGGGUCUUUCUCAACAAGAGCAGAAAGUGCUAUCGGUUCUCCCUCUGCUCAGAACGAUCUCUGGCAGCAAAAAUGGAUCUACCACGUGAAGAGGAAUUAUUGCAAAACUGCAAUGACACUGAGCUCUCCUGACACUGACAUCCAGGCUCCUCUCGUCAGUCAAGCAGCUGCAUCCACCAUCAGCAGCGGCAUGCACCAUAUUCAUCAUUAACCUUAAUUACUAACCUCAUCUGGGAUUAUACUGAAUAAUAUUUACCUUUUAAUAACACUGCACACAAGUGCAUCAGUUUUCUAGUCCAUAAGUAAAUGCAGUUUGUCUGCUGAUUUCAAUGAGUGUAAUAGAGGAAAGAAAGAUGUUUAUUUGGAGAUAAAACGUUUAACUCUCUAAAAUGUUUAACCCUUCACAGGGAACCUUUCUGCAUCUGUACCACUGUCACUACCUAGCACGAAGAAGUCCUGGCAUGAGAACAUCUCUCAGGACCUGAGGAAUCACCUAGUGCACAAGCUGGUUCAAGCCAUAUUCCCCGUCCCAGACCCUGCAGCACUGCAGGACAAACGCAUGGAGCACUUGGUUGCUUACGCAUGUAAAGCUGAAGGGGACGUCUAUGAGUCUGCCAACAGCAGGGAUGAAUAUUACCACUUAGUGGCCGAGAAGAUCUAUAAGAUCCAAAAGGAACUAGAAGAGAAGAGAAGGUCCAGACUGUCAAAUCCACUCACAAACACUCAGGAUCCUUAAAGCUACAGGACCUGAACAAGCCAUCGGCCAAGAAGUUAGUUAUUUUUUGAGCAGUUCAUAUGUGUGUUAUCAGAAUGUAGAAGGACUGAGGGAUCUCAUUUGAGAUUAUAAUCACAGUCAGUGUGUGCAGCUUCGUGAUCUGUUAUUCUUGAUUUGUUAUGUCAAUGUUUAUUUCAUGUUUUCUCAUGUAUACACAGGAAUAUUUACUUUAUUCUGUGUAUUACUUAUACUUACCAUUUCUGAUUGUUGUUUGAUCUUUUGAAUCUUUUUUUUUGUUAUGUUUGCUUUAUCUAUUCUCAAAUUAGAGGAAUAAGUGAAGGUUUCCAGCAUCAUGGAUGAUGUUGUGAAGCAGUAAUUCUCUGUGGUCUUUGCAUGAUAUAACAACACUUUGUGCUGCUCAAAUGAAGACAGAGCAUUUAGAAAGAUGCAACUGACAUUAUUGAAUAAAUGUAUAUGUACAAUCA